UAUUGAUUCCCGCAUACCAUAAACCCUUGCAAUUCAAUUCACAAGUCUCCUUCCAUUGUUUGUCAAAAAGCUUUGAUAUAUUUUGUUUUAAUAAAGAUAGAACAUCUCCCACUGGUAGUGAGCAAGAUUUUAAUUCAAUGCAGUUACCAUAACGCACUAUAGUUUUGGCACCUAUGUGUGAUGGAGUCCAUAGCAAUAUUAUAUCCUUAUGAUGAUUCUGACAGAGAUCAUAGUACUUUUCUCUUAUUUUAUGUGUUAUAAAUGAGGUGGUAGAACCAAAUUUUGGAUUAUCAGUAAUAAUAAUCCAAUUAUCAUAGGAAUGUUGAGAAAUGUAUUCGAGAGCUGAAAAUAUUCCAAUUGACUCUGCCGUAUAAAUGGAAGCAUUAUUAGGGAGUCUACACCCAUGACCCGUUUUGGCUUCUAAAUCAUAAAUAGCCAUUGAGACAGCUGACGUUGACGUAUUCUUUGAACCGUCUGUAUAAAUUUGCUUGUAACCUCUGUAUGAUUCUAAUUUGUUGUAAACAUCCUCUUUAAAUUCAAGAGAUUUAUCUAUAACAAUUUUAAUAGGAUAAAAUAUGCUUUCGUAAGAACCUGAAUAGCAUGGCAGGAUUACACUUUCAUAAAGAUUGUUUUGAAGUUUGAAUUCGACAGCUUCUUUAAGACAUUCUCUUAAGUUUGAAGAAGAAUUUACUAACUUUGGCAUUAAGGGGUGACCUGUUGAAGAACAAAUUUUGAGCAGAAAUUUAUAGUUAAGAUAACGGAAUCUUAUGGCUAGAGGAGGAAGUCCCAAGCUGAUUAGAGUGGCAGAAAGAACAUGCAAGUUAACAUUAUUAAAAGCACCAACUACAUCAAAGAAGACACAAGCCAGAAUUUUAUUGUUUGAUAAGGCCUCCUGAAUGUCCAAAUUCAAGUGACACAGACUUUCUCGAGCUGAUCGACCACGGCGAAAUCCAAAUUGAUUAUAAGGCAAUAAAUGGUUACUCUCUACAUAAAAUUUAAGACGUUGUUUUAAUAACUGUUCAAAAAUUUUGCCAACACAUGAGGUCAAAGUAAUCGGAUGAUAAGAGUCUGGAUCAUUAGGAGCUUUAUCUGGUUUUAGAAUUGGAAUAAUACAAUCCAUUUUCCAUUGUGAAGGAAUUAAGGAGUUCUGCCAUAGCAAAUUUAAAAUUGUUAAAAAUGUUUAUUAGAAUCAUUCAACAAUUUAAACAUUCUGUAGGAUAAAUAAUCUAGACCUGUUGAAGUAUCUUUUCUAGAGUUAAGGGCUGAUUGUAAUUCUUGCAUAGAAAAGUCCUUCAACAAAUAAGAAUUAGGUUGUGUGAAUAGAGGGAACAGUAAAAUUAUUUUCAACUGUAUCUGGGGUGUAUUUAUGAAGAAAGUCAGAUACCCAAUUGUAUUCAGAAACAAAAUUUGUGGAAGGAGAGUAUGAAUUGUUAAAUUUUUUAAUUUUCUUCCAAAUUUCACUCAUAGAAGAUAAACGAUUUAGUGAGGAACAGUAUUGCAACCAACUGAAUUGUCUUUUGCAUCUUAAAAUAACUUUUUUAAUAGCCUGAACACGUUUCAAAUUAAUAAAAUUUUCUGUAGACGGACAAGUUUUAAAUAAAAUAUAAGCUUUAUGAACAUUUUCUACUGCUUGAGAACAAAUGUGAUUCCACCAUGGCAAAGAUCUACGACUUAAAUUUAUACUGGGUGCAACAGAAUGUUUAGCUUUGGGAGCUGAAGCUUCAACAGUACUAGAAAUUAUAGAACAAAAACUAUUAUAAGAAUUGAUGGGAUCCAUAUGAUUAAUAUUGAAAUUAGACAACAAUAAAUUGACCUGUGCUUCAUAAGUCUUCCAAUCAACCAAUUUUAAAUUAACAUGUUUUAGCAAAUUUGAAGAGUUAUGAAGCAUAUUAUUAGAAUUUGGUCCUAGACACAACCUUGUUAAUGUAGGUAAGUGAUAACUUCCAAGUGGGUUGUCACAGACCUGCCAAUCACACUGUAAUGCUAAACACGAUGAAACCAUGGUGAGAUCAAGACCAUUAGGUCUAGCAAUAUUUGAACCAAUCGUAGUAGGCACAUUGCUGUUUAAGAGAACCAAAUUAUUUUUAUCAAUAAUAUCUAGAAUGUCCCUACCACGAGCAUCAGUAGAAUGACAACCCCAAUAUGGGUGAUGAGCGUUAAAAUCUCCUGAAUAAAUAAAGGGUUUGGGUAAAGAAGAAAUUAAAUUCAAUUUAUUACUACAGAAUCUAGGGGUGCUAAUACUAGGACAAUAAACACAACUAUGGUGACAGAUUUACUAUUUAAUUGGAGAGAAAUUGCCACAGUUUGUAUUGAGUUAUCAGAUGCAAUAGCAAAAUUAGAGAAAUGAAAAGAGUUAUGAAUUAAAAUAGCUACCCCAUUGUGGUCAUUGCCAGAGUCAUUUCUUACAACAGAGUAGCCUUUAAUAUUAAAUUUGUGGUGUGGUCUUAACCACGUUUCUGAUAUAAUAGCAACAUGUAUAUUUUGAUCAUAUAAAAAUUUCUGGAAGUCAA